UCGGAUAUGGUGCAAAGGAUAGCGCGAACUCGUGGAUUCUCCCCUGGGACGGGUUGAGAGGGUUAGAUCGAGGUUCGAUUCCUCGUAUCCGUCAA